rnacentral:lncRNA from 13 species
AUGUGCUGCUCUCCCACCAGGCCCGCGACUCCCAGUCUGCUCAGCUGGAUGUCCAUGGGCAGAGGAUCUCUCAGCUGCAGACGGAGCUACAGGAGAGCCAACUGGAGCUCCAGAGGGGACACAGCCGAAGAGAGCAGCAGCAGAGGGACCUGCAGACCCAGACACAGCAGGCAGAGGAGCUCCACACUCAGCUGGCUGAGGUCAAAGGGCGUCUUGUGCAGGUGGAGGGAGAAAAUGAGGCGCUCAUGGGAUAUAAGCGGGAGCAGAGAGCCGAGGUGGAAAGACUGGCAGCAGUGGUGUGUUCUCUGCAGAGCUCUGCCAGGGUCAGAGAGGACACAGUGUGCGCAGGCCGAGCAGAGGUGUGUGGACCUGGAGUGGGAGCUGACAGAGACCCCUCCCCAGAGACCAAGGGAAGCCUGGGCUGAGGAGCAGACCCAGAAGUUCCAGGCCACGGUGUCCAGUCUGAAGAGCCAGCAUGGCUGUGUUAGUCAGCAGCUGCAGGACAGGAGUGCUGAGGUGCAGAGGCUCCAGAGGUCAUUGGCUGAGCUACAUGGACGAGAGAUGAGGUGGGAGAGAGAGACAUCCGCCCUGCAGGGCCAGCCGGGCCUUGCCAGAGAGGAGCUCCACAGCGCCAUCCUCAGGAGGCAGGCACAGCAGCAGAAGGAAGAGCUGUUUGGUGAGCUGCAGAGGGAGGUGGACAGACUGAAGAAUGGGAGACAGGAGAUGCAAAAAAAGCUUUGUGGUAGAGAAGAGGAGCUGAAGAGGCUGAGAGACGAGCAGCAUCAGCUCAAGGACAAGGUCUGUGGCUCUGGGCUCUGGGCUCUGGCUGACACCGUUGUGCUUCCCCCGAACAGGAUGACACACAAUGCUGCUUAACAAACCCUCUCCUCNNNNNNNNNNACCUGGGACAGAGCAGAGGGAAGACCUGGGACAGAGCAGAGGGAAGACCUGGGACAGAGCAGAGGGAAGACCUGGGACAGAGCAGAGGGAAGACCUGGGACAGAGCAGAGGGAAGACCUGGGACAGAGCAGAGGGAAGACCUGGGACAGAGCAGAGGGAAGACCUGGGACAGAGCAGAGGGAAGACCUGGGACAGAGCAGAGGGAAGACCUGGGACAGAGCAGAGGGAAGACCUGGGACAGAGCAGAGGGAAGACCUGGGACAGAGCAGAGGGAAGACCUGGGACAGAGCAGAGGGAAGACCUGGGACAGAAGGAGUGAUAAUCUGUAGAGGGAGAGAGGGAACAAGAGAGAAAUAGAAAAGGGUCAGACGGGCGUUUUAGGUGGUCUGCAGGUCUGCGCUAGAUCCCUGUGUGAGGUGAGUAACCCCGGACGAGUGUCGAGCGCUGGGCCUGCGUGCUUUUACAGCGCGGCCUCACUGUGCUCUGGGACCGCAAUAAACCACGGCCUUCAAAGCACAGCCAAGCUCCACUAACUGCUGAGUGCUUCUCUGGUGGUUGGACAAGAUUACUCUCAAAACAAAGUGCAGACAGGUUGAUUGAUAGAAGGGUCUGUAGAGGUGCGCGCCACAGUGUUUAUUCACACCCUGCUAACACUCGUUUGUUUCAUUCGCAUGGACUUUUAUGUGCUGAUCCUGUUACUGUGUGAGUUUGUCAGUUCAUAAAGAAUAGUCCUGCUCUUUCAGUGGGUUUUAGUGGAAACUCACUAGGGCUGUUAUAGAUGUGUUGUUUUAACAUCCUGGGAACUAGCUGUGACAGGAGGGACAGUCUGCUCUGUGCCACAGCAGUCACUGUGAUGACGAGCGUCGGACGUGUUUACAUGAGUGUCUGUACUAUGUCCUUGACCGUUAAUGUGUGUGUUCUGAGUGUUUGUGAGUUGUGUUACUAGAUGUCUCCUGACUGAUAUGAAUGACUGAAGAUGUCUAUUUGGUGAUAUAACUGACUGGGACUGUGUGUCUAUGUGCAGGUGAGGGAGAGUGAUGUGCAGGCUGUGUGGCUGCAGAGCCAGGCAGACGGGGUGGGUCAGGAGCUGUGGGAGGAGAGUGCCCAGCGGGACAGGGAGCUGUGGGAGGAGAGUGCCCAGCGGGACAGGGAGCUGUGGGAGGAGAGUGCCCAGCGGGACAGGGAGCUGUGGGAGGAGAGUGCCCAGC